rnacentral:rRNA from 1 species
CCUACGGGUGGCAGCAGUGGGGAAUAUUGGGCAAUGGGCGCAAGCCUGACCCAGCAACGCCGCGUGAAGGAAGAAGGCUUUCGGGUUGUAAACUUCUUUUAUCAGGGACGAAGCAAGUGACGGUACCUGAUGAAUAAGCCACGGCUAACUACGUGACAGCAGCCGCGGUAAUACGUAGGUGGCAAGCGUUAUCAGGAUGUACUGGGUGUAAAGGGCGUGUAGGCGGGAGUGCAAGUCAGAUGUGAAAACUAUGGGCACAACCCAUAGCCUGCAUUUGAUACUGUACUUCUUGAGUGCUGGGGAGGCAGGCGGAAUUCCGGGUGUAGCGGUGAAAUGCGUAGAUAUACGGAAGAACGCCAGUGGCGAAGGCAGAUUGCUAGACAGUCACUGACGCUGAGGCGCGAAAGUGUGGGGAGCAAACAGGAUUAGAUACCCCAGUAGUC